UACGGAGGGUGCAAACGUUGCUCGGAAUCAUUGGGCGUAAAGCGCACGUAGGCGGUCUUCCAAGUCGGGUGUGAAAGCCCUCGGCUCAACCGAGGAAGUGCAUUCGAAACUGAAAGGCUAGAGUACGGAAGAGGGUCUCGGAAUUCCCGGUGUAGAGGUGAAAUUCGUAGAUAUCGGGAGGAACACCAGUGGCGAAGGCGGAGACCUGGGCCGAUACUGACGCUGAGGUGCGAAAGCGUGGGGAG
rnacentral:rRNA from 1 species